rnacentral:rRNA from 1 species
GACGAACGCUGGCGGCGUGCCUAAUACAUGCAAGUAGAACGCUGAAGAGAGGAGCUUGCUCUUCUUGGAUGAGUUGCGAACGGGUGAGUAACGCGUAGGUAACCUGCCUGGUAGCGGGGGAUAACUAUUGGAAACGAUAGCUAAUACCGCAUGAAAUUGCUUAUCGCAUGAUAAUUGAUUGAAAGAUGCAAUUGCAUCACUACCAGAUGGACCUGCGUUGUAUUAGCUAGUUGGUGAGGUAACGGCUCACCAAGGCGACGAUACAUAGCCGACCUGAGAGGGUGAUCGGCCACACUGGGACUGAGACACGGCCCAGACUCCUACGGGAGGCAGCAGUAGGGAGUCUUCGGCGAUAGGGGGAACCCUGACCGAGCAACGCCGCGUGAGUGAAGAAGGUUUUCGGAUCGUAAAGCUCUGUUGUAAGAGAAGAAAGGGUGAGAGAGUGGAAAGUUCACACUGUGACGGUAUCUUACCAGAAAGGGACGGCUAACUACGUG